GGGGUUGUGGCUCAGUGGUAGAGUGCUCACCUAGCAUGUGUGAGGCCCUGGGUUUGAUUCUCAGCACCACA
rnacentral:tRNA from 1 species